rnacentral:rRNA from 1 species
AUUGAACGCUGGCGGCAGGCUUAACACAUGCAAGUCGAGCGGGGUGAUGGUGCUUGCACUAUCACUUAGCGGCGGACGGGUGAGUAAUGCUUAGGAAUCUGCCUAUUAGUGGGGGACAACAUCUCGAAAGGGAUGCUAAUACCGCAUACGUCCUACGGGAGAAAGCAGGGGAUCACUUGUGACCUUGCGCUAAUAGAUGAGCCUAAGUCGGAUUAGCUAGUUGGUGGGGUAAAGGCCUACCAAGGCGACGAUCUGUAGCGGGUCUGCGAGGAUGAUCCGCCAGACUGGGACUGAGACACGGCCCAGACUCCUACGGGAGGCAGCAUUGGGGAAUAUUGGACAAUGGUGGAACCCUGAUCCAGCCAUGCCGCGUGUGUGAAGAAGGCCUUAUGGUUGUAAAGCACUUUAAGCGAGGAGGAGGCUCUUUUGGUUAAUACCCAAGAUGAGUGGACGUUACUCGCAGAAUAAGCACCGGCUAACUCUGUGCCAGCCGCCGCCGUAA